rnacentral:rRNA from 1 species
CACGUAGGGGGCAAGCGUUGUCCGGAAUUAUUGGGCGUAAAGAGCUCGUAGGCGGCUCGGUAAGUCAGGUGUCAAAUCCUCAGGCUCAACCUGGGGCUCCACCUGAUACUGCUGUGGCUAGAGUCCGGUAGGGGAGCGUGGAAUUCCUGGUGUAGCGGUGAAAUGCGCAGAUAUCAGGAGGAACACCAGCGGCGAAGGCGCCGCUCUGGGCCGUGACUGACGCUGAGGAGCGAAAGCGUGGGUAGCAAACAGG